UACAGAGGCCUCGAGCGUUAGGCGGAAUCACUGGGCUUAAAGCGUGUGUAGGCGGAUUGGUAAGUACCUUGUGAAAUCCCACAGCUUAACUGUGGAACUGCUCGGUAUACUGCUGAUCUUGAGCCACUCAGGGGCUACCGGAACAAAUGGUGGAGCGGUGAAAUGCGUAGAUAUCAUUUGGAACGCCAAUGGUGAAAACAGGUAGCUGGGGGUGUGCUGACGCUGAGACACGAAAGCCAGGGGAGCAAACGGG
rnacentral:rRNA from 2 species